rnacentral:rRNA from 1 species
UACGGGGGGGUGCGAGCGUUGUCCGGAAUUAUUGGGCGUAAAGAGCUCGUAGGCGGUGUGUCACGUCGGCCGUGAAAACCUGCAGCUUAACUGUGGGCGUGCGGUCGAUACGGGCAUCACUGGAGUUCGGCAGGGGAGACUGGAAUUCCUGGUGUAGCGGUGAAAUGCGCAGAUAUCAGGAGGAACACCGGUGGCGAAGGCGGGUCUCUGGGCCGAUACUGACGCUGAGGAGCGAAAGCGUGGGGAGCAAACAGG